rnacentral:lncRNA from 1 species
UUCAGAGGAGUCAUAUUUGUCAACUGCCCUCUUAGGAAGCCACUUGGGUCCCACUACCAGGAUAAAUACAAAGAAUUCAAGGUCCAGAAAGUGUAGAAUUGAAGAGGUCUUGGCAUCAGGUGAAGAGAUUUAUUCAAACUGUGUCUGGGAAGAAUAUCUAGAAAGAUCUUCCUAGAGAGAAGCAUGAAGUUAGACGAGUGUCCCGCGCAAUAGUCUUGCCGGCAAGAACCACACAGGACAUUCGGAUCCUUCUGCAGUAAAGCUUUAAUGCGUCUUGAGAGGAGAGCAUAAGCUUACCAGAGCGGAGACCCCGAGCCAAGAAUCCCGUCCCCUAAUAAAGGCUGGCAACCGCUGCCUCGGACGUGUUACCCCAUGAUUGGCUGUAGCUCAUUGGACCAUAUGACGCCACGGAAGAGGCAGAGACCAAGGAAUGGAAAAUUACCCAGCGCCUGCGCAAUAACUUGUUUACAUUCGGUGCCUGCCGGAUACAGGCGCCAUCUUGUAAUGGAGAAUGCAGGGACGGCUCCCUACAGACGAGUAUCAAGAUAUUUCCAAAAGAAUUGGAAACCCAUGAAACUGAAGAGUUGAGAAAAGCUAUGCAGACUUUUCGUCUUGAAAUACAAGGUGAGUGAGUAAUAACAACAACUAAAUAAUUAGCUGCUUGUGGGGUGUGGGAAUUGGAGGUGUCUUAGG